rnacentral:rRNA from 1 species
GAUGAACGCUGGCGGCGUGCCUAAUACAUGCAAGUCGAGCGAACAGACGAGGAGCUUGCUCCUUUGACGUUAGCGGCGGACGGGUGAGUAACACGUAGGUAACCUACCUAUAAGACUGGGAUAACUUCGGGAAACCGGAGCUAAUACCGGAUAAUAUUUCGAACCGCAUGGUUCGAUAGUGAAAGAUGGCUUUGCUAUAACUUAUAGAUGUACCUGGGCCGUUUUAACUAGUUGGUAAGGUAACGUCUUACCAAGGCAACGGAAAGUAGCCGCCCUAGAGGGGUGAUCGGCCACACUGGAACGAAGACACGGACAAAACUCCUACGGGAGGAGGCGGUGGGGAUUCUUCCGCAAUGGGCGAAAGCCUGACGGAGCAACGCCGCGUGAUGAAUGAAGGUCUUCGGAUCGUAAAACUCUGUUAUUAGGGAAGAAGAAACGGGUAAGUAACUGUGCACGUCUUGACGGUACCUAAUCAGAAAGCCACGGCUAACUACGUG